rnacentral:rRNA from 1 species
GGAUUAGGCAUGCAAGUCGAGCGAAUCCCAGCAAUGGGGGAAGCGGCGAAAGGGGCAGUAAUACAUGACUAACCUACCCUGGGGAUGGGGAUAGCUGUCCUAACGGACAGGUAAUACCCGGCGAGACGGCGAGCUGGCAUCAGUUUGCCGUGAAAUGAAUUUCGCCUCGGGAGGGGGUCAUGCCGUAUUAGCUUGUUGGUGAGGUAACGGCUCACCAAGGCAAAGAUGCGUAGCGGGUGUGAGAGCACGACCCGCGCCACUGGCACUGUGACACUGGCCAGACACCUACGGGUGGCUGCAGUCGAGGAUCUUCGUCAAUGGGCGAAAGCCUGAACGAGCGAUGCCGCGUGCGCGAUGAAGGCCUUCGGGUUGUAAAGCGCGAAAGUGGGGAUAAAGGGAAACUUGAUAGAACCACAGUAAGCUCGGGCUAAGUUCGUGCCAGCAGCCGCGGUAAGACGAACCGAGCGAACGUUGUUCGGAAUAACUGGGCUUAAAGGGCGCGUAGGCGGGUGACCAAGUCGGUGGUGAAAUACUCCAGCUCAACUGGAGAACUGCCUCCGAUACUGGUUGUCUCGAGGAAGAUAGGGGCGGACGGAACUGAAGGUGGAGCGGUGAAACGCGUUGAGAUCUUCAGGAACUCCGAUGGCGAAGGCAGUCCGCUGGAUCUUAUCUGACGCUGAGGCGCGAAAGCUAGGGGAGCAAACGGGAUUAGAUACCCCGGUAGUCCUAGCCCUAAACGUUGGGUACUAGAUAGUAGUCUACACAUGGGAUUACUGUCGAAGCGAAAGUGAUAAGUACCCCGCCUGGGGAGUAUGGUCGCAAGGCUGAAACUCAAAGAAAUUGACGGGGGCUCACACAAGCGGUGGAGCAUGUGGCUUAAUUCGAGCAACGCGAAGAACCUUAUCCUAGACUUGACAUAUGCGAAAGCGUCAGGAAGUAGAACCCGGAAACGGGAACGAACGGUAUCCAGUCCGGAACUUGAUACAGGUGCUGCAUGGCUGUCGUCAGCUCGUGUCGUGAGAUGUCGGGUUAAGUCCCAUAACGAGCGAAACCCUUACCUUCAGUUGCUACGGGUCAUGCCGAGAACUCUGGAGGGACUGCCUGGGUUAACCAGGAGGAAGGCGGGGACGACGUCAAGUCAUCAUGGCCUUUACGUCUAGGGCUGCACACGUGCUACAACGGCGUGAACAAAGGGAAGCAAGACCGCGAGGUGGAGCAAAUCUCAUAAAACACGCCCCAGUUCAGAUCGAAGGCUGCAACUCGCCUUCGUGAAGUUGGAAUCGCUAGUAAUCGCGGGUCAGCAACACCGCGGUGAAUGUGUUCCUGAGCCUUGUACACACCGCCCGUCAAGCCACGAAAGAGGGGAGCGCCCGAAGUCGCGUCAGCGCCGAAGGCGAUACCCUUGAUUGGGACUAAGUCGGAACAAGGUA